rnacentral:lncRNA from 1 species
CGAAAAUCUCUCCGCUCCCUCACAUGUCGGCCACUCUCUAAAUUUGCGACCCACCGAAUGCCACGUCGCGUCGUGGUUCGAAGACGGUUUACCUCUGCGCGUGUUGCUAAACACCAAAAGUGCCACGGAUCCCAUUUCAAAGAAACAGAAAAAACUGUGCUGCACUGCGUCUGUUUUUUAGAACGUCUCACUCCAGUCGUCGACAACAUGCAGCUCACUACAAUAGACAACUAGACAAGGCAUGUAUUUAAGCACUCUGUUACAUGUUUUUAAACGAGAAUUUCAUGUAGAACACGAUUCUUGCAUCAAAAGUUACGGAAAGAAACUCCUUACUAAGAUAUUAACGUUUUAAUUUUACAUUGGUUACAGGAAAUUUGAAUUGCUCGGCCACAAGAAACUCCAUACUCUACGUGAGUCAAAUCGCGCCCUACAACGGUUGGGCAGGCUUCUCAAUCAAACACUGUUCCUUUCCCAACCUUUAUCGUUCAAAGUGUGAACAAUUUUCUAUGGCUGAGCCAAAGCGUCAUGAUUGAGGUUGCCAGAUUUUUAUAUCGCAGAGACCGUCAUGAUAACGUUUAGCGCACGAUGUGAAUCACGUAGAGCAUUGAGUUUUCAUGAGCGGGAGGUUUGAAUUCACGCGUCAAGAAACAUUGAAUAUCUUCAUAAGGAGUUAAUUUCAGUAAUUUUCGUUACGCGAAUUGUGUUUUACGUGAAAUUUUGGUUAAGAAAUAUGUAUCAGAAAGCUUAAUUUUGUACUUUGUCUAGUGGUCCAUUACUACCAUUAUUUCUUCUCAUUUCACGGCCUGAGUUGGCAACCCGGACAAACCCAAGGGCUAUAUCGUCGACGAUAUAAACUUCUUGCUGAAAUACUGGCCGGUGCCCGAUGAAAGGAUUCUAUCUCUGGUAAAGUUGGGUUAAAUUCGAAGAUAUACCUGUUAAUUUUAACCCGAUCAGGAAAUAGGUUUCUGCAUUUACACAAUAUGGUUCAUUAUCAAUUCGCCGAUAAAAUUGACUAAAAUUCCAGGGCGUUCACAUUGAAGCAUCGCGCGCUUUUCUGAUGAGUAAGUAAAAUCCUUGAGAACGUAUAGUUUCAUUAAAAGCACGGUUUCCAAAUGAGUAGAUGUACUAUGAUUUGCUGUAGAUUUUGAAUCUUAUUCUGUACGCAAGCUAAUUCAUUUACUUUAUGAUUCUCUGGUCUAAGCUUCAACUGCGAUCGUGCGUUUAGUGACACAAACAACUUACAUGAAGAACUCUGUUGAGUUGUUUGAUUGAGUUUCGUGUGAGUAAAAUAGUAUUAUCAAAAUCCGAAAUCUGCCCGGAAAUUGGAACUUCCAAAAUUGCUUGCUUCAAAACAAUCUGCAACUACAUAAAAUAAAGAGGGUGUCACUAUAGUCUAUAUUGAGCUAUUUUUUAUGGAUAAAGUAUGGAGACGUUUGCGAAUUUAAACAAUUUCAACAGACC